rnacentral:rRNA from 1 species
UACGGGGGGAGCAAGCGUUGUUCGGAUUUACUGGGCGUAAAGAGCUCGUAGGCGGUUUGUCGCGUCUGCCGUGAAAGUCCGGGGCUCAACUCCGGAUCUGCGGUGGGUACGGGCAGACUAGAGUGAUGUAGGGGAGACUGGAAUUCCUGGUGUAGCGGUGGAAUGCGCAGAUAUCAGGAGGAACACCGGUGGCGAAGGCGGGUCUCUGGGCAGUAACUGACGCUGAGGAGCGAAAGCGUGGGGAGCGAACAGG